UCCCAAAUGCAAAUCCUCUGAAGAGACCACACAAACAAACAAACAAACAACCCCGUACAUUUGUCUAAGAAAGUGAAAAGCUGGCGGGCAAAAACAUGUAUGUUGAAGUUAAAGACAAACGAGAAAGUGGGAGACGAGACUUUUCCGCCUGGGACACACGAAAGACCCGGGGCUAACUUCCCUAAUAAACGAAGAAUUUGGAAACCGAUACGGUAAAGACCAAAUCGCGCCUGAAAAAUGGGCAAAAAGGGAGGACACUGGCAAUUCACAGAAAAGCACAAAUGGCUGACAGACCUACGGGACAGAACUCUUGACCCGACUUCCAAAGACCGAAAAACUGAGAGCGCAGACCUGCGCCGUUCCGCAGGCGCUCUCCUCAAGCGGCCGCGCGCGCCGCCGCCGGGCCGGUCCACCGCCGUCCAGCCAGACCGUUGACGUGCGGGGCGCACCGCCGCCUGCGGAGACCUGUGUGCGGCGGGAAAUGCGGGCUGCGCCUCGCGGGACAGACCACCACCGAGGACUCGGCCGUCAGUCACACCGACAGUCAGGCCGAAGCAUGCAGACACGACCCGUCACCGGGCACGCAGGAGACAGGCUGCCACUGGCUUUUGCUGGAAGAUGUUGACAUGCUGCAGCCCCAGAUUCCAGACUCCAGAUAAAUCUUCAGUUCCCCGAUAAUCAUCUCCCUGCCGGCUUAUCCCCACCAAGCGCUGCUCCACGGGGUCAGCUGAAAUGCAUAUUGUACACUAAUGAGACAAUGGGAAUUCACUAAACUUACUGUGAUCAUCGCUUUGCGAUGUUUGUGAGUCAAACCAUGAUGCUGUGUGCCUUACACCUACAUGCUGGAUGCCAGAGAUAUCUCAGUGAAACUGGAAGGAAAAAAAGUAAAGAAAAGGAGAGUCCUCCAUGAAAUAAGUGGAGACAUGGCCUAGGAGAAGACUCCUUCCGUUGUCCACAAAGACGUGGGUUUUGACAUCUAUAGAUGUAGAAUUCCAUCCAGUCACACAUGUGGUG